rnacentral:rRNA from 1 species
GAUGAACGCUGGCGGCGUGCCUAAUACAUGCAAGUCGAACGAACAGGUGAUGCGCUUGCUCCUCUGACGUUAGCGGCGGACGUGUGAGUCACACGUGUAUACCCUACCUAUAAUACUGGUAUAACUUCGGGAAACCGGCUCUAAUACCGUAUAAUAUAUUGCUCCGUAUUGUUCAUUGGUGAAAUACGGUUUUUCUGUCACUUCUAGCUGCAUCCGCGCCGCAUUAGCUAGUUGUUACGUUAACGGCUUACCAAGGCAACGAUGCGUGGACGACGUGAGAGAGGGGUAGGCCACCUGGGAACUGAGACACGGUCAAGACUACUACGGGAGGCAGCAGAAGGGAAUCGUACGCAGUGGGCGAAAGCAUGACGGAGCAACGCCACGUGAGUGACGAAGAUGUUCGGAGCGUAAAACUCGGUUAUGAGGGAAGAACAGAUGUGGAAGGAAAUAAGGAGGGAGUGACGGUAACGAAUAAGAAAGCAACGGCUAACUACGUG